rnacentral:lncRNA from 1 species
GAUUCAUCGCUGCAAUCGUGCCUUCAACCUCAUCAGAAUUAGGUGAGGGACCUAAGCCCUUGCUCUUCUCUCUUUCUUGGUUUCAUGGCUACCAUCCCACUCGGAUUAGAGCUAGCAAGUCACUAGAUUCCUUUGAAAUCGAGCCUCUCUUAUUUCUUUCUUUUCUUCCUCUCACUAGACCGAUCAUUGAUGCUGAUUGGAGCCUUACUUUAGUUGCCAA